rnacentral:rRNA from 1 species
UACGUAGGAGGCGAGCGUUGCCCGGAUUCACUGGGCGUAAAGCGCGUGUAGGCGGUCUGUUAAGUCGGAUGUGAAAUCUCCGGGCUCAACUCGGAAACUGCAUCCGAUACUGGCAGACUUGAGGAUGGUAGAGGUCGGUGGAACAGCGAGUGUACCGGUGAAAUGGGCAGAUAUUCGCUAGAACACCAGUGGCGAAGGCGGCCGACUGGGCCAAUCCUGACGCUGAGACGCGAAAGCCAGGGUAGCGAACCGG